GACAGGAUUAUUUUAAUUAGAUAAGCUGUGGAGAUACCACUAUUGGGUAGGGCCAUUAUUGACCAGUCAAAAGUUACUUAUCACCUUGACUAAUUUUUCCAUCAGUUUAAUGCACAUGCACAUUUGGUGGUUGUUAUGUACCUAGAAUUCCAUCCAGUUGGUAUAUAUGGCCCAUAAUUCAUCUGUACUAUUAAGACAAACUUAGAUUCUACCAUAUCGCAGAGCUGAACACAUGAACCAGAAGUAUUUAUUCCUGUUCACCAAGUGGAAAUCACAAGGAAUGACAACCCACACUCUAGCGGGUAUUCUCAACUGCAAAAAUGAGCUCUGAGUCAAUAACUACCAAAUCAUUGAGGUGUGUGCCAGGACCAUCAGAGGCAACAAAUUGCUUGUCCCAAGGAAAAAUGGAUAUUGAAAGUAAAUUUGAUGAAUUUGCUUGGAGAUUUAAAUAAGGGUGCCACAUCUACAAGGACACCCUUUCAUAUAGAAACAAAAUUAUUCCAUGUGCAGCAUAAAGACAAUAUGUGGGAGUUUCCAUUCUGGAGUGAGAGAAUAGACGUACUUUUCAAUGCCUUCCUACUGAACACAAGUAAGAACCCUGCACAUUAUGUAUAAAUUAAACAUAAGAUUUUGGAAAGUAUUCU
rnacentral:lncRNA from 1 species